rnacentral:rRNA from 1 species
UACGGAAGGGCAGCAGUGGGGAAUAUUGCACAAUGGGCGCAAGCCUGAUGCAGCCAUGCCGCGUGUAUGAAGAAGGCCUUCGGGUUGUAAAGUACUUUCAGUCGUGAGGAAGGUGUUAAGGUUAAUAACCUUAGCAAUUGACGUUAGCGACAGAAGAAGCACCGGCUAACUCCGUGCCAGCAGCCGCGGUAAUACGGAGGGUGCGAGCGUUAAUCGGAAUUACUGGGCGUAAAGGGCACGCAGGCGGUUAAUUAAGUUGGAUGUGAAAUCCCCGGGCUUAACCUGGGAAUGGCAUUCAAGACUGGUUAGCUAGAGUCUUGUAGAGGGGGUAGAAUUCCGAUGUGUAGCGGUGAAAUGCGUAGAGAUGUGGAGGAAUACCGGUGGCGAAGGCGGCCCCUGGACAAAGGCUGACGCUCAUGUGCGAAAGCGUGGGGAGCGAAACAGGGA